rnacentral:rRNA from 1 species
UACGAAGGAUGCGAGCGUUAUCCGGAUUUAUUGGGUUUAAAGGGUGCGUAGGCGGCCUUAUAAGUCAGUGGUGAAAUCCUAUCGCUUAACGAUAGACGUGCCAUUGAUACUGUAGGGCUUGAGUACAGAUGCCGUUGGCGGAAUGUGUCAUGUAGCGGUGAAAUGCAUAGAUAUGACACAGAACACCGAUUGCGAAGGCAGCUUACUAUGGUUUUAUUGACACUGAGGCACGAAAGCGUGGGGAUCAAACAGG